rnacentral:lncRNA from 1 species
AGCUCUCCCCAUCUGCUUCUUGCGCGAUGGCCGCUUCUGAGUCUCCUGAUUCCACACGCAAUUCUCAGUUCCUCCCUGGAUCCCUGGCUAGACACUGUGCCAGAGAAAGACCCCCGACAUGCCCCUGCCUUACCUGGGAGACCCUCUUUCUUCUUUUUCCUCUUAAAUCGUGUGGGCACUUUAGCCUUUGGUGGUGUUUCUCUCACUUCAUUCCUUUCAGCUGUGCUGGCUAAAUGCUGCUGUCCCAGCUCCAGACUCUUCAUGAAGAGGAUCUGGCUUCCUGGCCUGAGGCCCAGAAAUCCCGAAGUUUGUCUAAUGGUCAUCUGCAAGACAGUUAGUCCAAAUUAGCCUGUUUGUUCUUACCAGAAGCAGAAGUUAAAUAUUGACCUGUACUACAUUGUUCCUAGAACCCCAUAGAGAUGAACAAAUCAUCAGCGCUAUUCUCCAGUUGCUCAGCAGGGCAAGGAUUUGUGCCUGGCCUUCCAGGUACUUUUGGAGUAAGAGGAUGCUGAGGUUGACCUCUGAGUUCCUCCAGGUGACAGAGCAGAUGCACCAUGAACAGGUCCAAUGAGGCCUCCCCUGUGUUGGGGUUCGUUCUCCUGGGCCUCUCUGCCCACCCAUAGCUGGAGAAGACAUUCUUUGUGUUCAUCCUGCUGGUGUACCUGGUGAUCCUGCUGGGCAACGGGGUCCUCAUCCUGGUGACCAUCCUUGACUCCCGCCUGCACACACCCAUGUACUUCUUCCUGGGGAACCUCUCCUUCCUGGACAUCUGCUAUACAACCUCCUCAUCCUUGACAGCUUCCUGACCCCCAGGAAAACCAUCUCCUUCUCAGCCUGUGCAGUACAGAUGUUCCUCUCCUUUGCCAUGGGAGCCACAGAGUGUGUUCUCCUGAGCAUGAUGGCUUUUGAUCACUACCUGGACAUGUGCAACCCCCUUAGGUACCCUGUGGUCAUGAGCAAGGCUGCCUACAUGCCCAUGGCUGUUGGCUCCUGGGCAGCUGGUAUCACCAACUCUGUAGUACAGAUAUCCCUAGCAAUGUGACUGCCCUUCUGUGGGGACAAUGUCAUCAAUCACUUCACCUGUGAGAUCCUGGCAGUUCUAAAGUUGGCCUGUGCUGACAUCUGCAUCAACGUGAUCAGCAUGGUUGUGACCAACAUGAUCUUCCUUGCACUCCCAGUCCUGUUUAUUUUUGUCUCAUAUGUCUUCAUCAUUGCCACCAUCCUGAGAAUCCCCUCAGCUGAGGGGAGGAAAAAGGCCUUCUCCACCUGCUCUGCCCACCUCACUGUCGUGAUCGUCUUCUAUGGGAUGAUCCUCUUCAUGUAUGGGAAGCCCAAGUCUAAGGACCCAAUGGGAGCAGACAAACAGGACCUUGCAGACAAACUCAUCUCCAUUUUCUAUGGAGUGGUGACCCCCAUUCUCAACCCCAUCAUCUACAGCCCGAGGAACAAAGAUUUGAAAGCUGCUAUGAGGAACCUGGUGGCUCAAAAACACCUAACAGAGUGACUAUCACAGAUCCCCAGACUGCGAGAAUGCAUAACCUCCAAAUUCCUCAUUGUUCUUUUGGGGAAAUGGUAACCAGGGAGGACCUUAGACUGUCAAUAGAAAGAACCAUAAAAUUUCUGAGGCUGCUGGUUAGUUUGCUGGCUUUACACAGAAUCGUGCUGUGUCAUAUCAUAGCUAUAUUUUACUGACUAAAUCUUAAAUUCUUUGAUACAGAAUUUGAUGAAUAUCCAUAAGAGUUAUAGAGGUGGUCAAAAGAGACAAACAAACAAAAAUUUUAGUGGUACUGGGAUCUUGGAGGAUACAGGAUAUGGUUGGGCUCUGUGUCCCUGCCCAAAUCUCCUGUCGAAUUGUAAUCCCCAGUGUUGGAGGAGGGGCCUGGUAAGAGGUGAUUGGAUCAUGGGGGCAGAUUUCCCCCUUGCUGUUCUCAUGAUAGUGAGUCAGUUCCCAUGAGAUCUAGAUGUUUAAAAGUGUGUAGCACCUCCUGUUUCACCCUCUUCCUCCUACUCCAGCCAUGUAGGACAUGAUUGCUUCCCCUUUGCCUUCCGCCAUGAUUGUAAGUUUCCUGAGGCCUCCCCAGCCAUGCUUCCUGUACAGCAUGUGGAACAGCGAGCCAAUUAAACCUCUUUUCUUUGUAAAUUACCCAGUUUCAGGUAUUUCUUUAUAUCAUUGCAAGAAUGGAC